rnacentral:rRNA from 1 species
AACGAACGCUGGCGGCAUGCCUAACACAUGCAAGUCGAACGAGACCUUCGGGUCUAGUGGCGCACGGGUGCGUAACGCGUGGGAAUCUGCCCUCAGGUACGGAAUAACUCAGGGAAACUUGAGCUAAUACCGUAUAAUGACUUCGGUCCAAAGAUUUAUCGCCUGGGGAUGAGCCCGCGUCGGAUUAGCUAGUUGGUGAGGUAAAGGCUCACCAAGGCGACGAUCCGUAGCUGGUCUGAGAGGAUGAUCAGCCACACUGGGACUGAGACACGGCCCAGACUCCUACGGGAGGCAGCAGUGGGGAAUAUUGGACAAUGGGCGCAAGCCUGAUCCAGCAAUGCCGCGUGAGUGAUGAAGGCCUUAGGGUUGUAAAGCUCUUUUACCCGGGAAGAUAAUGACUGUACCGGGAGAAUAAGCCCCGGCUAACUCCGUGCCAGCAGCCGCGGUAAUACGGAGGGGGCUAGGCGUUGUUCGGAAUUACUGGGCGUAAAGCGCACGUA